rnacentral:rRNA from 1 species
UUCCGGUUGAUCCUGCCGGACCCGACUGCUAUUUGGGUGAGGAUAAGCCAUGCGAGUCGAAUGGGAUACCUAAAUUUCCCAUGGCAGACUGCUCAAUAACACAUGAUCAACUUACCCUAUAGAGAAAAAUAACCUCGGGAAACUGAGGAUAAUAUUUCAUAGUUGAAAAGGCUUGGAAAAGUUUUUCAACCAAAGGGAUAAGAAAAAUGGUUUUUAUCCGCUAUAGGAUAGGAUCGUGGUCGAUUAUGGUCGUUGGUGAGGUAAUGGCUCACCAAGCCGAUAAUCGAUAGGGGCCGUGAGAGCGGGAGCCCCGAGAUGGGUACUGAGACAACGACCCAGGCCAUACGUGGCGCAGCAGGCGCGGAACCUCCGCAAUACACGAAAGUGUGACGGGGUUACCCAAAGUGUUCAAUUUUGAACGGGGUAAGUCAAUAGUGUCCCCUACUAGAACUGUGGUAGGUGAGUAAUGUCCCCUACUAGAAAGGAGAGGGCAAGGCUGGUGCCAGCCGCCGCGGUAAAACCAGCUCUUCAAGUGGUCGGGAUAAUUAUUGGGCUUAAAGUGUCCGUAGCCGGUUUAGUAAGUUCCUGGUAAAAUCGGGUAGCUUAACUAUCUGCAUGCUAGGAAUACUGCUAUACUAGAGGGCGGGAGAGGUCUGAGGUACUACAGGGGUAGGGGUGAAAUCUUAUAAUCCUUGUAGGACCACCAGUGGCGAAGGCGUCAGACUGGAACGUGCCUGACGGUGAGGGACGAAAGCCAGGGGAGCGAACCGGAUUAGAUACCCGGGUAGUCCUGGCCGUAAACGAUGCAUACUAGGUGAUGGCAUGGCCAUGAGCCAUGUCAGUGCCGUAGGGAAACCGUUAAGUGUGCCGCCUGGGAAGUACGGUCGCAAGGCUAAAACUUAAAGGAAUUGGCGGGGGAGCACCACAAGGGGUGAAGCCUGCGGUUCA